AUUCCUUAUUUAACCAUUUUUCACAACUAAUUCAAUUAUCUGACCUAUUGAAUUGAUAAUCCUAUGAUUGAUUUAUCUACUUUACCUAUAUCUUACAAAAACAAAUUUCUACCCAUUUUACAUAGCUCCAUUCUUAAAUGUACAAUAUCCUCGUAAAUAUAGCAUUGAUAUAUAUCUAAAAAAAAACUACUUAACAAAACUCUACAAAAUUGUUAUCUCUCUGGCGUCCCAAAUUAUUCAAUUUCCACAUUAUAUAUUGUUGGUUCUACCAAUUUUGGUUCCAAAUGCAAACCCUCAUCCUCUUCUAAUCCUUCCAUUGGCUCCUUCUUCAAUUGGGUUGAAAG
rnacentral:lncRNA from 1 species